ACGCUGGCGGCAUGCCUAACACAUGCAAGUCGAACGAACCCUUCGGGGUUAGUGGCGCACGGGUGCGUAACGCGUGGGGAUCUGCCCAAAGGUUCGGAAUAACUCAGAGAAAUUUGAGCUAAUACCGGAUAAUGUCUUCGGACCAAAGAUUUAUUGCCUUUGGAUGAACCCGCGUAGGAUUAGCUUGUUGGUGGGGUAAAGGCCUACCAAGGCGACGAUCCUUAGCUGGUCUGAGAGGAUGAUCAGCCACACUGGGACUGAGACACGGCCCAGACUCCUACGGGAGGCAGCAGUGGGGAAUAUUGGACAAUGGGCGAAAGCCUGAUCCAGCAAUGCCGCGUGAGUGAUGAAGGCCUUAGGGUUGUAAAGCUCUUUUACCAGGGAUGAUAAUGACAGUACCUGGAGAAUAAGCUCCGGCUAACUCCGUG
rnacentral:rRNA from 1 species